rnacentral:lncRNA from 1 species
GGCAUAACGGCUAGUUUUUUUCUUGACUCCAACGGCUCUAUUUUUGUCUCUAACGGCUAGAUUUUUGUUUCCACGCCAUCUAAAGCUAUAAAAUCAAGAGGAGAGCUAGGGAAGAAGGCAUGAAAGUGGGAAAGAACAUUUAGGGAAGAGAUUUCAAAGAGAUUACAAGGAAAAUCUCCCAUAAGCACAAAAGGGCCAUUCAAAGUAAAAUAGAGAGAAGAAGAGCAUCCAAGUGAAUCCCAAAGCUU